rnacentral:rRNA from 1 species
UUUUAUGGAGAGUUUGAUCCUGGCUCAGGACGAACGCUGGCGGCGUGCCUAAUACAUGCAAGUCGAGCGAAUGAUGAGAAGCUUGCUUCUCUGAUUUAGCGGCGGACGGGUGAGUAACACGUGGGCAACCUGCCCUGUAGACUGGGAUAACUUCGGGAAACCGGAGCUAAUACCGGAUAAUUCUUUUAGCCUCAUGGCUUUAAGCUAAAAGGCGCUUCGGCGUCACUACAGGAUGGGCCCGCGGUGCAUUAGCUAGUUGGUGGGGUAACGGCCUACCAAGGCAACGAUGCAUAGCCGACCUGAGAGGGUGAUCGGC